AAAUAGGAUUUUUUUAAAUCCACUUUACUUUCCUUAGCACUUCCUC
rfam:Pteropus alecto contig85847, whole genome shotgun sequence.